rnacentral:rRNA from 1 species
UAGGGAAUCUUCCGCAAUGGGCGAAAGCCUGACGGAGCAACGCCGCGUGAGUGAUGAAGGUCUUCGGAUCGUAAAACUCUGUUAUUAGGGAAGAACAAAUGUGUAAGUAACGAUGCACAUCUUGACGGUACCUAAUCAGAAAGCCACGGCUAACUACGUGCCAGCAGCCGCGGUAAUACGUAGGUGGCAAGCGUUAUCCGGAAUUAUUGGGCGUAAAGCGCGCGUAGGCCGUUUUUUAAGUCUGAUGUGAAAGCCCACGGCUCAACCGUGGGGGGUCAUUGGAAACUGGAAAACUUGCGUGGAGAAGAGGGAAGGGGGAUUCCAUGUGUAGCGGUGAAAUGGGCAAAGUAAUGGAAGGACACCAGUGGCGAAGGCGACUUUCUGGUCUGUAACUGACGCUGAUGUGCGAAAACGUGGGGAGCGAACAAG